rnacentral:rRNA from 1 species
UACAGAGGUCCCAAGCGUUGUUCGGAUUCACUGGGUUUAAAGGGUGCGUAGGUGGGUUGGUAAGUCCGUGGUGAAAUCCCCGAGCUUAACUCGGGAACUGCCGUGGAUACUAUCAAUCUUGAAUAUCGUUGAGGUAAGCGGAAUAUGUCAUGUAGCGGUGAAAUGCUUAGAUAUGACAUAGAACACCGAUAGCGGAGGCAGCUUACUAAGCGAUUAUUGACACUGAGGCACGAAAGCGUGGGGAUCAAACAGG